UACAGGGGGUGCAAGCGUUAAUCGGAAUUACUGGGCGUAAAGCGCACGUAGGUGGUUAUGUAAGUUGGAUGUGAAAGCCCUGGGCUCAACCUAGGAAUUGCAUUCAAUACUGCGUAACUAGAGUAUGAUAGAGGAUAGUGGAAUUUCCGGUGUAGCGGUGAAAUGCGUAGAUAUCGGAAGGAACAUCAGUGGCGAAGGCGACUAUCUGGAUUAAUACUGACACUGAGGAGCGAAAGCGUGGGGAUCAAAC
rnacentral:rRNA from 1 species